AUUGAACGCUGGCGGCAUGCUUUACACAUGUAAGUCGAACGGUAACAGGCCGCAAGGUGCUGACGAGUGGCGAACGGGUGAGUAAUGCAUCGGAACGUGCCCAGUCGUGGGGGAUAACUGCUCGAAAGAGCAGCUAAUACCGCAUACGAUCUAUGGAUGAAAGCGGGGGACCGUAAGGCCUCGCGCGAUUGGAGCGGCCGAUGUCAGAUUAGGUAGUUGGUGGGGUAAAGGCUCACCAAGCCAACGAUCUGUAGCUGGUCUGAGAGGACGACCAGCCACACUGGGACUGAGAAACGGCCCAGACUCCUACGGGAGGCAGCAGUGGGGAAUUUUGGACAAUGGGGGCAACCCUGAUCCAGCAAUGCCGCGUGCAGGAAGAAGGCCUUCGGGUUGUAAACUGCUUUUGUACGGAACGAAACGGUCUGGGUUAAUACCCUGGGCUAAUGACGGUACCGUAAGAAUAAGCACCGGCUAACUACGUGCCAGCAGCCGCAGUAACAC
rnacentral:rRNA from 1 species